rnacentral:rRNA from 1 species
GACGAACGCUGGCGGCGUGCUUAACACAUGCAAGUCGAACGAUGAAGCCGGAGCUUGCUCUGGUGAAUUAGUGGCGAACGGGUGAGUAACACGUGAGUAACCUGCCCUUGACUCUGGGAUAACUGCUAGAAAUGGUAGCUAAUACCGGAUACGACCCUCGGAGGCAUCUUCAGGGGGUGGAAAGAAUUUCGGUCAAGGAUGGACUCGCGGCCUAUCAGCUAGUUGGUGAGGUAAUGGCUCACCAAGGCGACGACGGGUAGCCGGCCUGAGAGGGUGACAGGCCACACUGGGACUGCGACACGGCCCAGACUCCUACGGGAGGCAGCAGUGGGGAAUAUUGCACAAUGGGCGCAAGCCUGAUGCAGCAACGCCGCGUGAGGGAUGACGGCCUUCGGGUUGUAAACCUCUUUUAGUAGGGAAGAAGCGAAAGUGACGGUACCUGCAGAAAAAGCACCGGCUAACUACGUGCCAGCCGCCGCCGUAA